rnacentral:rRNA from 1 species
CCUACGGGGGGCAGCAGUGGGGAAUAUUGCACAAUGGGGGAAACCCUGAUGCAGCGACGCCGCGUGAGUGAAGAAGUAAUUCGUUAUGUAAAGCUCUAUCAGCAGGGAAGAAAAUGACGGUCCCUGAGUAAGAAGCCCCGGCUAACUACGUGCCAGCCGCCGCGGUAAUAGGUAGGGGGCAAGCGUUAUCCGGAUUUACUGGGUGUAAAGGGAGUGUAGACGGAAGGGCAAGUCUGGAGUGAAAGGCGGGGGCUCAACCCCCGGAGUGCUCUGGAUACUGUACGGCUGGAGUGCAGGAGAGGUAGGUGGAAUUCCGAGUGUAGCGGUGAAAUGCGUAGAUAUUAGGAGGAACACCGGUGGCGAAGGCGGCUUACUGGACUGUAACUGACGUUGAGGCUCGAAAGCGUGGGGAGCAAACAGGAUUAGAUACCCGUGUAGUC